rnacentral:rRNA from 1 species
AGCGAACGCUGGCGGCAGGCCUAACACAUGCAAGUCGAACGAAGUCUUCGGACUUAGUGGCGGACGGGUGAGUAACACGUGGGAACGUGCCUUUAGGUUCGGAAUAACUCAGGGAAACUUGUGCUAAUACCGAAUGUGCCCUUCGGGGGAAAGAUUUAUCGCCUUUAGAGCGGCCCGCGUCUGAUUAGCUAGUUGGUGAGGUAAAGGCUCACCAAGGCGACGAUCAGUAGCUGGUCUGAGAGGAUGAUCAGCCACAUUGGGACUGAGACACGGCCCAAACUCCUACGGGAGGCAGCAGUGGGGAAUCUUGCGCAAUGGGCGAAAGCCUGACGCAGCCAUGCCGCGUGAAUGAUGAAGGUCUUAGGAUUGUAAAAUUCUUUCACCGGGGACGAUAAUGACGGUACCCGGAGAAGAAGCCCCGGCUAACUUCGUGCCAGCCGCCGCAGUAAUAC